GCUGGCUACCUAGAUUGUGGAGAACUACAAACUCGGGAUUCAGUGGAGAGAAACUCCCAUUAAGAUUAAGGUAGAUGCACGUACUGGCUUUGUGGGAGCCUAGGCAGUUUGGAUGCUCACCUUACUAGACCUGGAUGGAGGUGGGUGGUCCUUGGACUUCCCACAGGGCAGGGAACCCUGAUUGCUCUUCGGGCUGAUGAGGGAGGGGGACUUGAUUGGAGGAGGGGGAGGGAAAUGGGAGGUGGUGGCGGGGAGGAGGCAGAAAUCGUUAAUAAAUUAAUUAAUUAAAAAAUGAAAUAGGUUCUUCAAUGUUCAACAUAAUUGUCACACAUUUUUAAGCUGUUAAUCAAGUCAUAAUUAAUUUGAAUCCCUACGACAUCAACUUGUAUUGGGGAACACUCAGACCCUUCGUUUCCCUUCCUGAUUACACUAACCCUCCCUAAUAAUGUGGCAAAAACAUGUGAAGGCUGGGUUUUGUUGUUGCUUUUGUUGUUUUAUAAGAUUUUUCUGUACUUUCUUAUGACCCCAUUGAUUUCUAUAAACCUGCUUUGCAAGUACUCCUGAUUUUACCCUUAAGAGAGCCCUAAGAAAUGAACUCAGAGUUGCUCUCUUUAACGGGACCAGAGAGGCAGUCUCUUGCCAGGUCUCAGGUACAUCACAAUAAAAACCAAGUUUGUUCCAGA